AUAACUGGAAGUUAACUUUAGUGGUUGGUUUAUCCAGACCUUCGCCAAUAACUCUUAUUUGACAAAAUAUAUAAGCUGAACCAAAUAUAAAUAAGUGACAAUAUUGGAUUAAAAUUGUUAUUGUCAAACACGAAAAUGUUUUUACGGCCUCAGUGGGUUAUUGGCAUAUUGUUAAUACAAGGUUUCCUAGUGACAAGUUUUCCAAGAUUCCUUCCUUUGAACCCUUUGCCGAUGAUAAGUGGACGUAUUGAAGCCAUAAGAGAUGCUGGGAGAAACAUUUUUGAUAGUACACUUGGAUUCCGACCGCAGAUUAAAAUUCCAUUUACGCCUUAUAGAAAUAUUCCCUUGAUUGAACCGAUAAUUAAUCGCAAUUAUGAUAAAAAUAUUUCAAAUGAUAAUAACAUUCAGGAGAAACCAAGACUAACUAUUAAUGAUACUGAAACAAGUGUGAAACAAGAAACUGAUUUAGAUAAUGAAAUUGAUAGUUCAUCUGAAUCUAUUACGACUGAAAGCAGUACUGACACUACCACAGAUAUAUGGACAACAACUGAAGAUGAUGAGACACUAAACAGAAUUUCAUCACAGGUCGUUGCAUCACUUCUGGGGUGAAACUG